AAUCGUGACUCGGGUUACCGCGGCUGCUGGCACGGAGUUAGCCGGUGCUUCUUCUGUGAGUGAUGUCCUUCCUGCCGGUUAUUGACCCGCAGGCCUUCUUCCUCACUGAAAGUGCUUUACAACCCGAAGGCCUUCUUCACACACGCGGCAUGGCUGGAUCAGGGUUGCCCCCAUUGUCCAAUAUUCCCCACUGCUGCCUCCCGUAGGAGUCUGGGCCGUGUCUCAGUCCCAGUGUGGCUGAUCAUCCUCUCAGACCAGCUACGGAUCGUCGCCUUGGUGAGCCGUUACCUCACCAACCAGCUAAUCCGACAUAGGCUCAUCCGAUAGCGCGAGGCCCGAAGGUCCCCCGCUUUCCCCCGUAGGGCGUAUGCGGUAUUAGCCUGGGUUUCCCCAGGUUAUCCCCCACUACCGGGCAGAUUCCUAUGCAUUACUCACCCGUCCGCCGCUCGCCACCAGGGAGCAAGCUCCCCGUGCUGCCGCUCGACUUGCAUGUGUUAGGCCUGCCGCCAGCGUUCAAU
rnacentral:rRNA from 1 species